GUGCUUGCUUUGGCAGCACGUAUACUAAAAUUGGAACAAUGCAGAGAAGGUUAGCAUGGACCCUGCAUAUGGAUGAUAUGCAAAUUCGUGAGGAGUUCCAUAUUUAA
rnacentral:snRNA from 1 species